UAAAGGCUUGGUCCUGGCCUUACUGUCGGCUCUAGUCAAAAUUACACAUGCAAGUAUCCGCGUCCCCGUGAGGAUGCCCAUGAUCGCCUUCGAUGUGACAUGGAGUUGGUAUCAGGCCCAACCACAACUGGCGUAACACCAGUACCUUCAGCCCAAGACACCUUGUUCAGCCACACCCUCAAGGGUAUUCAGCAGUGAUAGACCUUAAGCCAUGAGCGAAAGCUUUACUCAGUUAAGACUAAGAGGGCCGGUAAAACUCGUGCCAGCCACCGCGGUUAUACGAGAGGCCCAAGUUGACAGACAGCGGCGUAAAGAGUGGUUAGGGAAACACACCAACUAAAGUCGAAAGCCCCCAAGACUGUCAUACGCCACCUCGAGAGCACUAAGACCAACUACGAAAGUGACUUAGGUCUGCGAGAGUUCAACGACUUCUGUUCAGAUAUUUACUGUCGGCUCUAGUCAAAAUUACACAUGCAAGUAUCCGCGUCCCCGUGAGGAUGCCCAUGAUCGCCUUCGAUGUGACAUGGAGUUGGUAUCAGGCCCAACCACAACUGGCGUAACACCAGUACCUUCAGCCCAAGACACCUUGUUCAGCCACACCCUCAAGGGUAUUCAGCAGUGAUAGACCUUAAGCCAUGAGCGAAAGCUUUACUCAGUUAAGACUAAGAGGGCCGGUAAAACUCGUGCCAGCCACCGCGGUUAUACGAGAGGCCCAAGUUGACAGACAGCGGCGUAAAGAGUGGUUAGGGAAACACACCAACUAAAGUCGAAAGCCCCCAAGACUGUCAUACGCCACCUCGAGAGCACUAAGACCAACUACGAAAGUGACUUUAUUUUACCUGACCCCACGAAAGCUGAGGGACAAACUGGGAUUAGAUACCCCACUAUGCUCAGCCCUAAACAUCGAAUGAAUUUAACCAAUUCACUCCGCCUGGGAAUUACGGACACUAGUCUAAAAACCAAAGGACUUGGCGGUGCUUUAGACCCACCUAGAGGAGCCUGUCCUAUAACCGAUAACCCCCGUUAAACCUCACCCCCCCUUGCUCUAUCUACCUAUAUACCGCCGCCGUCAGCUUACCCUGAGAAGGAAAAAUCGUAUGCAGAAUUGGCACAGCCCUAAACGUCAGGUCGAGGUGUAGUGAAUGGGAGGGGAAGAGAUGGGCUACAUUUGCUUACCACAAGCAAACACGAAUGUCCCACUGCAACAAGGGACUGAAGGAGGAUUUAGUAGUAAGCAUGAAACAGAGUGUCUUGCUGAAAUUGGCCCUGAAGCGCGCACAUACCGCCCGUCACCCUCACCAAGCACCCGGAAAACAGUAAAUAAGCCCUAUUCAACACGCAAAGGGGAGGAAAGUCGUAACAUGGUAAGCGUACCGGAAGGUGCGCUUGGAUAAUA
rnacentral:rRNA from 1 species